ensembl:lncRNA
GAGUUUUUUGUGGGGCGCCCCUCAUUAGUGCCCCGCCCUGCUGGGUACGGAGCAGCCAGAGCUCCUGGGAUUCAUUCAGGGCUGAGGAAUAUUUAAUGACUGCAUUUCAAAGAUGCUCCCUCCCACCACGCCACAGCCAUCACUCGCGUUGUAAACACACAUGAAAAUAGCAUCACUUCAGCCAAAGUGACCUGUUUUAGCCUCGAAGGCUUUUAAAGCAGCAGCUGUCAACUGCUCAACCAAUGAAAAAAGCUUCUGUAAAGUCUGAUCGUGGGCAGAAAUAAAAUGAGUGGAUCCUCUGUGGGUCUGCAGUGAGUCUGAUGGAUCUGAAGGAGACCUGAUCCUGUGGAAUCAGGGACUCCGUGGAUCUGCUGACUGAGGAUGGAUCCACCCCGGAGUCUGUUACUAUCUGGGAGUCCACACAGCCUGGUGCCUUUGACUGAUGGAUGCAUCAGAGGAUGAAUGUGUGAGCUGCCCCCACAAACUUUUUUCACCUGUGAAAGACUGUUUGUAAAAAAUCAGCUUCUGUUGGUUUGUUAGACGAGAUAAUGAUACAAUAAAUGGUUUCAAG